UACGUAGGUGACGAGCGUUAUCCGGAUUUACUGGGCGUAAAGCGCUUGUAGGUGGCUUUGUAAGUUGGGCGUGAAAACUCUGGGCUUAACCCAGAGACGCCGUCCAAUACUGCGAGGCUCGAGGAUGUCAGAGGAAGGUGGAAUUCCUGGUGUAGUGGUGAAAUGCGUAGAUAUCAAGAGGAACACCUGAGGUGAAGACGGGUUGCUGGGCUGACACUGACGCUGAGGCGCGAAAGCUAGGGUAGCAAACGGG
rnacentral:rRNA from 1 species